rnacentral:rRNA from 1 species
UAGGGAAUCUUCCGCAAUGGGCGAAAGCCUGACGGAGCAACGCCGCGUGAGUGAUGAAGGUCUUCGGAUCGUAAAACUCUGUUAUUAGGGAAGAAUAAAUGUGUAAGUAACUAUGCACGUCUUGACGGUACCUAAUCAGAAAGCCACGGCUAACUACGUGCCAGCAGCCGCGGUAAUACGUAGGUGGCAAGCGUUAUCCGGAAUUAUUGGGCGUAAAGCGCGCGUAGGCGGUUUUUUAAGUCUGAUGUGAAAGCCCACGGCUCAACCGUGGAGGGUCAUUGGAAACUGGAAAACUUGAGUGCAGAAGAGGAAAGUGGAAUUCCAUGUGUAGCGGUGAAAUGCGUAGAUAUAUGGAGGAACACCAGUGGCGAAGGCGACUCUCUGGUCUGUAACUGACGCUGAGGCUCGAAAGCGUGGGUAGCAAACAGG